rnacentral:misc_RNA from 1 species
GAUGAAGAACGCAGCGAAAUGCGAUACUUGGUGUGAAUUGCAGAAUCCCGUGAACCAUCGAGUCUUUGAACGCAAGUUGCGCCCGAAGCCAUUAGGCCGAGGGCACGCCUGCCUGGGCGUCACACGUCGUUGCCCCCCCAUCUACUCCUUCGGGAUUGCGGGGGGCGGAUGAUGGCCUCCCGUGCGCCUCGUCGCGCGGUUGGCAUAAAUGCCAAGUCCUCGGCGACGCACGCCACGACAAUCGGUGGUUGCGAAACCUCGGUUGCCCGUCGUGUGCGGUCGUCGCGCAUCGAGGGCUCGAAAAAAUUGCCGGGCUCCGGCUCGGCUUUCAACGCGACCCCAGGUCAGGCGGGGUUAUCCGCUGAAUUUAAGCAUAUCAAUAAGCGGAGGA